AAGAUACUAAUUAAAAAACAUAAUAAUGCUUUGUCAAGGCAUAAUCGUGGGUUAAACCCCCACGUAUCUUA
rnacentral:tRNA from 1 species